rnacentral:lncRNA from 1 species
AUGCAGCUGCGCGCAGGCAGCAAAGCUCACACACGUACUAAGGUCGAAGUCUCUAUACCGUCUUGGUUAAGGGCACGAUUUUCACUUGCCUGCACUUUCGCCCCGACUCAGCAUAUCUGCUUUCUCCGCCCCCCACUGGAGUGGGAAGUAUUUGUUAGCGCUCUUCUGUGCGGCUCCUUUGGGUGUGUAUGCCGCGGGAGGCCGCUGCGGGGCGCUCCCCGCUGGGUAGAGCAGAGCAGAGCGGGCGCCGCGCCGGAGCUGGGGCAGCGUCGGGCUGUGUCCGGGCGUAGCUGUAGGAUCCCUGGAUCGAAGGGGUGGUUGCAAGCUUCCUUAAGGUCAGCGGUAUUACGGUUAUUGUGGCUGAUCAGUCGUGCUGGCGUUCACGGAAAACAGCUGAUCAUGGUAACAGCUGGUCCUGCACCUUUGUGAAGUCUGCACAAAGCUUGGGAAAAUCACUGAAUGCUAAGAAAAUUUAUCUUCUGGAAUGAAGAGGAAUGCGGAGUUUUUCUGCUUUGAAUCAGCUAUACUUCUUCCAAAUAGUUCAGUACUUAUGACCCUUCAGGUAAAAUCUGCCAAACCUAAACAACGGGUCUUUUAUUUAAAAUCUACCUUUCCAUAAUAUAUGUCACUGAUAAAAACAUUCUUAAGUGUGUUUUUGCUGAUGUUAGGUCACUUGGAAGGCUAAACUGCAGAAUGGUGAUUUGCCGAGACUUUUUAAUGUGGGUUAAAUCUCUUGCAUUUCCCUCCCUGUUUUCUGGUGGGCUGCAGUUAGAACUGUUGAGCAAAGGUGUCCUAUUUUGAUUCUCUACUUCAAUGACUUUGAUACAAAGGAGAAGACUAAAGUUUAUUGGCAGACCUCUGUUUUGACACCAAUAGGAAAGAAGAAAAACUAUAGAAAAUGUAGUGAUUGCUUUCAUGUGUAUAUUCCUACUUGUUACUGUAGUAAUGAAUGAGCACUUCAGCAAGGCUGAGAUUGGGUUUUGCUGUCAGUCCUGAAGCUGCCAUCAUUUUAUGAACUGGAAGAACAAAUUAAGAUUUGCCCAAGGAUGUGGUGUCAUUAAAUUAAGAGUUCUUCACCCAGGCCAGUGUUGCACUCAGUAGGUCCUGUCUGUUGUGUGGCAAUUUGAAGUAUUUCUAUUGCCUAACAGAUUUUCUUCUCCUAUGGCGCUUUAGCCUUCCCCGUGGUCAGAAGGUCGUAAAUGGAUGCGUUCUAAAAAAUAAUCCAGUUGUGACUGCCACCUUCAGUUUGAAAGCAUGGAAAAAUAAAAUUAUUCAAGUGCUCA